UAGAAAAAAAAAAAAAAAACCAAAAAAAAAAAAAAAACAAAAACACAAAAAUAUGCGUUUGUUUGGUGUGGUGGUUCUUUUCCUUCUUUCUUUUGUUGCGUUCUCUU
rnacentral:ribozyme from 13 species